CGGUCACGUUCGUUGCUUUCAAUUAUUUACUUUUUAUGUAACAAUACAUACAUAUAGUAAGUAAAGAUUACAUAAAUUUAUUAUCUGAAACGCAAUUAAGCAGACAGAUCACUCCACGAACUAAGAACGGCCAUGCACCACCUAUCACACAAUCAUGAAAGGACUAGCAUAAUUUGUAAAUUGCCUGUCAAUCCUCAGUGUGUCCGGACCCGGUAAGUUUUCCCGCGUUGUCAAAUUAAGCCACAUGCUCCACGCGUUCUUGUGGUGCCCUU
rnacentral:rRNA from 1 species